GCGCAGCAGGCGCGAAACCUCCGCAAUGCGGGCAACCGCGACGGGGGGACCCCCAGUGCCGUGGCAUCGCCACGGCUUUUCCGGAGUGUAAAAAGCUCCGGGAAUAAGGGCUGGGCAAGGCCGGUGGCAGCCGCCGCGGUAAUACCGGCGGCCCGAGUGGUGGCCGCUAUUAUUGGGCCUAAAGCGUCCGUAGCCGGGCCUGUAAGUCCCUGGCGAAAUCCCACGGCUCAACCGUGGGGCUUGCUGGGGAUACUGCAGGCCUUGGGACCGGGAGAGGCCGGGGGUACCCCUGGGGUAGGGGUGAAAUCCUAUAAUCCCAGGGGGACCGCCAGUGGCGAAGGCGCCCGGCUGGAACGGGUCCGACGGUGAGGGACGAAGGCCAGGGGAGCGAACCGGAUUAGAUACCCCUGUAGU
rnacentral:rRNA from 1 species